GUCAGUGGAAAUCAGAUCGCAUACAGCUGUAUAGAGAGAGACAGAGAAUUUACAACUUUUUAAAAGAGAGAGAGAGAGAGAGCAAAUCGAUCAAACUUUUCUACAGCACGUUAUACCACUCCGGGUCGAGAGGAGCGAUAUAGCAUGGACCGGUUGAAUGACUAUGUCGGAUUGAAGCAUGACCGAAAGCGUGGCAGGGACUUUCCCUUUGAACUUCUUCCUGUUCCAUGAUUAACCUCCAACUGUUAAAUGUUUCCUCAAUAUUGCUGUAAGUAACAACAAAGUUAGUUUUUUAGGAUCAGACAGGGGUCCAGUCCCAAAACUUUCCUUAUACAUUCCCACAGACUUGAGCUGUCACUGAAUUAGCAUCUGUGGGACAAAUAAGCUUCAGGGACUGACUUGCCUUUUAGAACCGACCUUACGAGGCCUUUAGAGGCCUUUUAAUUUUUACCCAAAGAGAAAUUUGAUCCUCACAAACUAAUAUCAGAUAAAACAAAAAACAAAAACAUGAUACUGUUUAGUUGUGAUGAACAGUAACCACUUACCUCAACUUUGAUGGGUUUUUUUUCUCAGCUAUUUAUUCUGCACAGAGCGUUUCCGGUGUGGCUCAUGCAAAAGAGAAUUGCAACAACACAGCAUGUUUCUCUUCUCCCUUUCACACAGUAAGUAUGUCUGUUGUAGACUGCGCUUUAUAAAUGUCUCUUUGAUUAUUCAAUCAGUCUUUGAAAACUUUAUCGUCAUCACCAGCAUGCUUUGUACCUCAGGCUCAUCAGAGACAAUCGUAUCCAGUGGUGUGGUGGCCAUGGAUUGAGCCAGCCCUGCAAACCCUGUGGAUGGACGAUGCAGUGGACAGUGGGAGGAAGCAUCCUGAAGCUCUCUUUGCAGACCACUGUGUGUGAUUCUCCACUCGCCGACCAGAAAAGACAAACGGCAGGUCUCAGUUGCAGCACCUCAUCCAUCCAUGUCUGAUCCUGCAUCGGCAGAUUCAGCAACACAGCCAGAGACUUCCUGUAAUCUAUUACA